rnacentral:rRNA from 1 species
UUACACAUGCAAGUCGAACGGCAGCACGGACUUCGGUCUGGUGGCGAGUGGCGAACGGGUGAGUAAUGUAUCGGAACGUGCCUAGUAGCGGGGGAUAACUACGCGAAAGCGUAGCUAAUACCGCAUACGCCCUACGGGGGAAAGCAGGGGAUCGCAAGACCUUGCACUAUUAGAGCGGCCGAUAUCGGAUUAGCUAGUUGGUGGGGUAACGGCUCACCAAGGCGACGAUCCGUAGCUGGUUUGAGAGGACGACCAGCCACACUGGGACUGAGACACGGCCCAGACUCCUACGGGAGGCAGCAGUGGGGAAUUUUGGACAAUGGGGGAAACCCUGAUCCAGCCAUCCCGCGUGUGCGAUGAAGGCCUUCGGGUUGUAAAGCACUUUUGGCAGGAAAGAAACGUCAUGGGCUAAUACCCCGUGAAACUGACGGUACCUGCAGAAUAAGCAC